GAUAUUUGCCUUGAUCGUGUCUGCACAACGACUCCGUUCGUAUUUUCAAGUGCACGCUAUCGUAGUCCUCACCAACCAGCCCCUGAGGGCAAUUUUGCGUCGCCCCGAUACAUCGGGACGACUGGCGAAAUGGGUGGUGAGGCUGAGUGAGUUCGACAUUCAGUACCGACCGUGACCUGUCCUGAAAGCCUAGGUCUUGGCUGACUUUAUUGCGGAGUGCCUGACAAU
rnacentral:lncRNA from 1 species